rnacentral:lncRNA from 1 species
CGACCACUGCUGAGAGGCGGGCUCCCCCUGUGCCGGCUGGUCCUGUGGCUGAGGAGAUGUCAUGUGGAUGUCCCCGCACGGCCCACUCCUCCUGGACCCACGGGUCACUCUGGUGGCUUCUUGGUAGGACAGAAAAGAGACGUGACAAGUGGUAUUGGGGCCAAGUCGGAAAGGCAGCACGCUGACUGCUCAGAGCUGUUGUUGCACAAUAAUGCUCUGGGCUCAUUCAUUAGGCAGAAGCUCGUGGGGAUGGGCUCUGGGCAGCGCUGGCCUGAAACACGGAAGCCAUCUGCGGACUAAAAGUUUAAGCCUGGAAUGCCAGCUCCCAUUUACGUUCCCCCUCGAGGUCAGGGAGCCACAGGAAAGCGCAAAGGCUGAGGGAGGAGAGGCCCCCCGGAUGGGUCCCGCAUGCCCUUUCUGCCCUGACCUGGAAAAUUCACCUGGAAAACCCACGAGGCUCCCAGGGCAGAUGGCCUCACGUGACCCAGAUGUCAAGCCAUCGCGAUUCCUAGAGGGAGCUUGGCAGGUGAGGUUGGGGGGUGGGGUGGGGGGUGGGGCAGGUGGCAAGAGAAAGGGAAAGAGAGGCCACCUGAAGAGGUGGCCACUGGUGGCUGCGAAAGGUCAGCAAAGAAAUGGGGACCAAGCGUCCUGUCUGUACAGAUGAGUUUCCCAAGGCAUCUGGCUUUGCUUUGCAAACACCGGCUGGCUUCCCUGUCAUUUCCGUCCUCUUGCCUUUGGCCUUGGCUCUGAC